rnacentral:rRNA from 1 species
GACGAACGCUGGCGGCGUGCCUAAUACAUGCAAAUUGAGCGCUGAAGGUUGGUACUUGUACCAACUGGAUGAGCAGCGAACGGGUGAGUAACGCGUGGGGAAUCUGCCUUUGAGCGGGGGACAACAUUUGGAAACGAAUGCUAAUACCGCAUAAAAACUUUAAACACAAGUUUUAAGUUUGAAAGAUGCAAUUGCAUCACUCAAAGAUGAUCCCGCGUUGUAUUAGCUAGUUGGUGAGGUAAAGGCUCACCAAGGCGAUGAUACAUAGCCGACCUGAGAGGGUGAUCGGCCACAUUGGGACUGAGACACGGCCCAAACUCCUACGGGAGGCAGCAGUAGGGAAUCUUCGGCAAUGGACGAAAGUCUGACCGAGCAACGCCGCGUGAGUGAAGAAGGUUUUCGGAUCGUAAAACUCUGUUGGUAGAGAAGAACGUUGGUGAGAGUGGAAAGCUCAUCAAGUGACGGUAACUACCCAGAAAGGGACGGCUAACUACGUG